UACGUAGGGGGCAAGCGUUGUCCGGAUUUAUUGGGCGUAAAGAGCGUGUAGGCGGCUAGGUAGGUCCGUUGUGAAAACUCGAGGCUCAACCUCGAGACGCCGGUGGAAACCAUCUAGCUAGAGUCCGGAAGAGGCAAGUGGAAUUCCCGGUGUAGCGGUGAAAUGCGCAGAGAUCAGGAAGAACAUCGGUGGCGAAGGCGCUCUGCUGGACCAUAACUGACACUCAGGGACGAAAGCUAGGGGAGCGAAUGGG
rnacentral:rRNA from 1 species